rnacentral:rRNA from 1 species
AUUGAACGCUGGCGGCAUGCCUUACACAUGCAAGUCGAACGGCAGCACGGGAGCAAUCCUGGUGGCGAGUGGCGAACGGGUGAGUAAAGUAUCGGAACGUGCCCAGUCGUGGGGGAUAACGUAGCGAAAGUUACGCUAAUACCGCAUACGAUCUAUGGAUGAAAGCGGGGGAUCGCAAGACCUCGCGCGAUUGGAGCGGCCGAUAUCAGAUUAGGUAGUUGGCGGGGUAAAGGCUCACCAAGCCGACGAUCUGUAGCUGGUCUGAGAGGACGACCAGCCACACUGGGAGUGAGACACGGCCCAGACUCCUACGGGAGGCAGCAGUGGGGAAUUUUGGACAAUGGGCGAAAGCCUGAUCCAGCCAUGCCGCGUGCAGGAUGAAGGCCUUCGGGUUGUAAACUGCUUUUGUACGGAACGAAAAGGUUUGGCCUAAUAAGCUGAGCUCAUGACGGUACCGUAAGAAUAAGCACCGGCUAACUACGUGCCAGCAGCCGCGGUAA